rnacentral:misc_RNA from 1 species
GGCAUAAGAUGAUCCGGAAGUCAGCAGCAAGAACGUAAACAAAAAUGCAAUGGCUUCCAGACCGAACUCGGCUGGGCUUCAGCCCUCUGCGACAGAAAAACUCAUACCAAAGCCAUCUUUAGGACAAUAUGUUUUUACUGAAAAGCUUGGCAGCGGUACAUAUGCGACUGUUUACAAAGCUUAUAGUAAGACUGGUGUGAGAGAAGUAGUCGCCAUCAAAUGUGUGUUGAAGAGCAGCCUUAAUAAGGCAUCAACAGAAAAUUUGCUUACAGAAAUACAGCUGCUAAAGAAUCUUAAACAUGAGCACAUUGUAUCUCUCAAGGAUUUUCAGUGGGACAAUAACUACAUAUACCUGAUAAUGGAGUUUUGCAGCGGAGGAGAUUUGUCACGCUUUAUUCGCAGCAAGCGGGCAUUACCUGAACACAUUGUGAAGAGAUUCUUACAACAGAUAGCAUCAGCCAUGAAGUUUCUUUGGGACAACAAUGUGGCCCACAUGGACCUCAAACCCCAGAACAUUUUACUCACAUCAAGCUCCAGUCCACAAAUCAAGUUGGCAGAUUUUGGAUUUGCCAAACAUCUGUAUGAUGGUGACAACUUGCAUGUGAUGAGAGGUUCCCCACUCUACAUGGCGCCAGAGAUUAUCUGCCGAGGAUCUUAUGAUAACAGAGUUGACCUGUGGUCUAUAGGGGUCAUAUUAUUUGAGUGCCUGUUUGGGAAGCCUCCAUUUGCUUCUAAAAGUUUCAAGGAACUUGGAGAGAAAAUAUGGGAUCAAAAACCUGUAGAGAUUCCUGCAGGCUUUGAUGUAUCUGGAAAAGCGAGAGAUCUCACACUCCGUCUGUUACAAAGACAGCCAAGGGACAGAAUCACAUUCGAAGAGUUCUUUGCACACCCAUUUGUUGAUAUGAAACACAUUCCUUCAAAAGACUCUCUGCCAAAUGCUGUUGAAACAGUGUCUAAAGCGAUAAAUAAAGACAAUGAAGGAGAUUAUAAAUCAGCAGUGCGGUUAUACUGUGAGGCUUUGGAGUAUUUCAUGCCUGCUAUACACUAUGAAAAGAGCACCCAGAAAAAGGAGUCAUUAAGAGCAAAGGUGAAGGUCUACAUAAACCGUGCUGAGACACUUAAGCAACUGAUGAAGCCACACUCAAGUUCCAGACCACCGAGACCGCCUCCACCCAUGAGCCCUUACAAAGCGUCCCCCACCAGUAGUAAUAAAUCCACUUCAAAAGACUCGCCCCAUCAUUCGUCUCAGAAGUCUAAGUCUCCAGAAACAUCACCAGAAUCAAAAGCAGUCCCAUCGGCUUCCAAGACGCCCAAACCAGAUUUGUUGUCUGACCCUGUGGAGAAGUCUUCUGCAGAUGGGUCUCCAGGGUCCAGACCUGAAGAGAAUACAUGUGCGGAGUCGUCCCCACCUGGUGCAGUCAACAACUCUCCAUCCUCUACCUCCCAGUCGUUUGCCAGAUCCAUGUCCAAUGAUGUGCUGGAAGAGCUCAUGUCUCUUUGCUCUGAUUCUCAAGAGCUCAUGGCAGUGCUGAAACUUGUGAAUGCUGCCAUCUUAGAGGCCACACAUUGACUUGGAAAUUUUUCGCUCGUCACCUGGUUGCGAAGUAUGGUGAGCGGGCAAAAAUCACCUCGUCUGCACACUCACAGCUGCAUGACAAGGAGAAAUUGUGAACAAGAGGAGAAUUAUGAAAGCUGCCUUCAUCAUUAUGAAAUUGCUUUGGGAGCAGUGCUGAAG